UGUCAUCGUAUCGACAUUGUGCAAGUAUAAAAGCUGCAGACCGUCAGAGAUUAAACAACAAACAGCUGGAGUUGGUGAGCAUCGGCACGACUGAAGACAACUCAGAACGAUUAAACUGUUCAAGGACUUUUCCACAAUGAUUCUCAAGAUCUGUUUCAUUCUGCUUCUGCUUGUCGCCAUUUCACAGAUACCAGAAGUGAAUGCAGCAACUUCAAACACCCCAACCCGAAAUGCAACCAACCCAACCCAAAGUGCAACCACCCCAACCCAAAGUGCAACCACCCCAACCCAAAGUGCAACCACCCCAACCCAAGCUUCAGCUAACACAACGCAGAGCACAACAAACAGCACAGCAGCCAUUAACAAAAUCAGCCUGACUUCUGUCACAAUGGCCGUCGUAGCUGCUGUGCUUCCAUAACAUAGUUACAGUUGUAACUAUGUUGUUACAACUAGCUUUUUUAACCAUGCAUUUGUCUGUGUAUUUUUCAUAUCCUAUCAAAGUAGGGAAGUUUCAAUAAGGGGAGGGAUGAUAAAUAAAAGGGGAUCUAAACUGUCUUUUGAACACAUGUAAAUGAUCCAUUUUACUGUAUGCUUUCACAAGAUUGUGACUUUCUUUGUGGCAAAGGUCAACAAAUAAAAUGUUUACCAAUCAGAGGAAAUUGAUUCAAUCACACAUAUUAAGAUUUAUUGUGAUGACCAUCUAUUGUGAAAAUAACUGUACCUAACCUGAUUUAAGGGAGAAUAUGUUAACUUCCUAACCAAUAAAUGACAAUAAUCACUUAA